GAAAAUUAAUUUGCUAGAUUUGAAAAGCACAACCCGGUAUUUAGUGUUUGGUGAAAUGAGAGCAUCAUCACAAACACCAUACAGAUAGAGGCUUUUUGCCUAAUUAGUUAAUUAACAACAUAAAUGAACAAAUAUACUGGGUGAAGUAUGUGUCCAUCACCCCUCUGUCUAAUACUCAUCGCAAGCACCAAAAUAAAUUAUCUUAGUUCUAUACAGAAAUCCCAACUGAUGAAGCUAGCAUAACUUCCAAAAGUCGUUCUUGACAGGAAGUCCCGUACUACUAACCUGAAAAAAGAAAAUCUAAAAAAGAUUACUAAAAUUCAGAAACAAUCAAUUAACCAAAAGAGAAGUUUUCUCCAACCAGAUAUCUUUUUCUAAUUACCAACAAAGAAUCAAUUAUGUCCUUGUUAAGCCCAACUGGCGAAACGAGGAUAAAUUCCAAAAGCCAGUCUUGGCAGGAACUCCUAAACCACUAACCUGAAAAAAGCAUAUCCAUAUAGAGAUGAGAACCGAAAAACCCUUAGCCAAAAUUAGUAGCAAAAUUGUACAAGUACCUCUUUUCUAACAUAAUAACACAACCAUCACCUUUUGGAAUUGAUAAAUAACACAUGCAAGAUUUCACGUUUGGAAAGGACCAUUGGCUCUAAUACAGGUUGAUUUUGUGCAUCUUAGUGUUCCAAUAAUAGCUGAAAAAAGGUCAAACAUUGAUCAAUUUGUUCUAUCGCUACAAAAAGUAAUGUCGUUCUUCUAUGAUACUCAAAAACUAAAGACUUCAGUUGUGACUAUCCAUAAAUAAUAAGUUGUAGGCCAUAAAUAAAUGAAAUGUAGUGCUUGUCAUGUGAAAUGGCAAGUGGAAGUUAUUUAUAUUCAAAGCCGGGAAAAAAUCCUGAGUAUUGUGGUGACUAAAUUAGCUACAGGAUAUGACCAAGCUACCACAUUAGUGUAUGCCUAAAGAAUACAUCUGAAAAGAAAGGAUGAUGAAGUCAAGUGUGACAUACUAAAUCCUGUGUGGAUAGUAUAUACAUACUCUUCACAGUGCAAUGUACUGUAUAUUUAAUAUCAUGUGUUCAGCAUAUUAGUACCCUAUAAGGCUAACAAACCUACAUUAGAUUUCUCUAGUAAGCAGAUUUUGCGAAGCUUCUUAAAAAAGUGAUAAUGCCUCAAUGGCUGAGCGCCCUACUUUCGGCAACCUUGUUCAAAGAAUUAAAAAUGAGUCAUUUUACUUCUAUAUAGGAGAGAGCUACCUUGUUCAAAAAAUAAAAAUGAUUCAUUUUACUUUCUUAGGAGAGAGAACUAUCACAAAAGGAACAAUACAUACCUGAAAAUAAUGUAGUACUGCAAUAAUCAUCAAGCUGUAGCAUUUCCUCUGUAUGUCAGCUAUUCAACAUAUCAUGUGUUUAUUUCUUUUAACAUCAUGUGAAAUUAAACCAAAAUUACUUCCAUCGAGAAAAAUGCAACACAACGUCAAGGAGAGAUCAAGAAUAAAUAUACCAUGGUAUACUGAAGAAAAGAUGCAGGUUCUAAAUUCCUUGCACAUUCAUGCAAGGAGCUAGACACCCAAAUUUUUGUCCUCACCACAGACCUGCAUGCAAUACCUGAACAUUCUUCUCAGAUUAAGAAUCUGUACCAUAUGUACCAACUUUAGAUCUGAAAUUCUAGUACUAAUAACUCAUCUACCUGUACAAAGAAACCACGCAGAUCAGAGGAGAGGAAAGGCAGAUGCGAUGCGUGCUGAAAUCUGAGAUGGGCUCUAGGCCCAUAUUGCAAUUUCUGAAAAAUCUCUAAGGGCCCAUGUGGGUUAUAUGGCACUAGGUGUGGUGGGAAGUUUAGUCCCACCCCGGAAGUGGAAGGAGAGUUGGAGUGGUUUAUAAGGGUUUCUCUUCUACAUGCUAUUGGAGCUUGAGAAGAGAAGAGGCCCUCGCGCACUCCUCCUCCGCCGCCCGCCUCGCCACGCCACGCCUCGUCGCGCCGCGCCGCGCCGCGGGUUGCGGGAUUGAGCCGAGCCGAGCUCACACCUACGCGCUUAUUUUUGCCAGUCACUAACGGAGAGUUUUCUGACAGCUGGGCCACGAUCUGAGACGUUGGAUCGUGGGCUGUCACGGACUCGGACGUGGGUCGAGCCCACGUCUCUCCACGCGGCUGCGCCUAUAAGUAUGCGGUGUCUCCUAACCCUAGCGGCCACGAACAGAUCACAUCUGCUCACGCGCACGCCCACCGUCGUCCCUUUGCUGCUGCUGCCGCCGGUGACUCCAUCCCGUCCGCCACGUACACGGUCGACGGGAGAGCAGGUCUCCGAAACCACGCCCUUCUGGUUCCUGUACGGGGUGAGGGGCGAAUAGGUUUUUGGGCAGCGAUUACGCGACUGCUCGCUUCCGAUCGUCUACUUCCUCUACGUCCGCGUCGCCUUCGUCAUCACCAUGUCCACCGACGCCGACCGUGCCGCCGCCGAGAAAGCUGAAGCCGACAAGAAGGUCGCCGAGGACGCCGCUGCUGCCACCAAAGCCGCGGCCUCUGCGUGGCCUACUGGAGGGUAUAACUCGUUUAUCCCGCUCCUGAUUAUUUUCAUAUUAGCAGUACUAGCAGUAUGUGUAGAUUUGUCUACUGUUUGCUUAGUACGUGCAUGUCUAGAUCAGAGUCAGUACGUCAUCAACUUAGUCAAUGCCAUGCUAGUGAUUUACUCAUGGUUUAUUUUAAUCGAGAAAUUGCCUAUUUACUCAACAAUGCGUACCUUUGCAAGAGCGCUGCAGCAGAGGGACGGCCGUCGGGCGGAUAGAGGGGACCGGCAGCCGGGGCCGAAGCUGGG
rnacentral:lncRNA from 1 species